rnacentral:rRNA from 1 species
UAGAUUAAGCCAUGAAAGUAUGUUAGACUUGUUCUGACUGCGGAAGGCUGAGUAACACGUCAUUAAUCUGCCUUAUGGUCUCUAAUAAUCUUGGGAAACUGAGUGUAAAGGGGAUAGUUAUUUUAUGCUGGAAUGCUUAAAAUAAUGAACAUAAGAUGAGAUGGGCGGCCGAUUAGGUUGUUGGUGAGGUAAUGGCUCACCAAAACCUACGAUCGGUAGGGGUCGUGAGAGCGAUGACCUCCAGAAGGACACUGAGAUAAGGGUCCUAGUCCUAAGGGAUGCAGCAGGCGCGAAACCUCUACAAUGCACGCAAGUGUGAUAGGGUAACCCCUCGUCGCUCACCGUAAGGUGGGCUUUUGUCAAGUUUAGUGAUCUUGACGAAUAAGUGGUGGGCAAGACCGGUGCCAGCAGCCGCGGUAAUACCGGCGCCACAAGUGGAGAUCAUGUUAUGGGUCUAAAGUGUUCGUAGCUGGCUAUGUAAGUUUCUUGUGAAAGGUUCUGUGGCUUAACCC